rnacentral:rRNA from 1 species
UGCCAGCAUCCGCGGUACUACUGAUUGUCCGAGCGUUAUCCGGAAUCAUUGGGUUUAAAGGGUCCGCAGGCGGUCAAUUAAGUCAGAGGUGAAAGCCCAUCGCUCAACGAUGGAACUGCCUUUGAUACUGGUUGACUUGAGUUAUACGGAAGUAGAUAGAAUAAGUAGUGUAGCGGUGAAAUGCAUAGAUAUUACUUAGAAUACCGAUUGCGAAGGCAGUCUACUACGUAUAUACUGACGCUGAGGGACGAAAGCGUGGGGAGCGAACAGGAUUAGAUA